rnacentral:rRNA from 1 species
CCUACGGGAGGCAGCAGUGAGGAAUAUUGGUCAAUGGGCGCGAGCCUGAACCAGCCAAGUAGCGUGAAGGAUGACUGCCCUACGGGUUGUAAACUUCUUUUAUAAAGGGAUAAAGUGAGGCACGUGUGCCUUUUUGUAUGUACGUUAUGAAUAAGGAUCGGCUAACUCCGUGCCAGCAGCCGCGGUAAUACGGAGGAUCCGAGCGUUAUCCGGAUUUAUUGGGUUUAAAGGGUGCGUAGUAGGGUUGUUAAGUCAGUUGUGAAAGUUGGCGGCUCAACCUUCAAAUUGCCUUUGAUACUGGCAGUCUUGAGUACAGUUGCGGUAGGCGGAUUUCGUGGUGUAGCGGU